UAAAGCGCGCGUAGGUGGUUUGUUAAGUUGGAUGUGAAAUCCCCGGGCUCAACCUGGGAACUGCAUUCAAAACUGACUGACUAGAGUAUGGUAGAGGGUGGUGGAAUUUCCUGUGUAGCGGUGAAAUGCGUAGAUAUAGGAAGGAACACCAGUGGCGAAGGCGACCACCUGGACUGAUACUGACACUGAGGUGCGAAAGCGUGGGGAGCAAACAGGAUUAGAUACCCUGU
rnacentral:rRNA from 1 species